rnacentral:rRNA from 2 species
GAUUUGGCGGACGGGUGAGUAACACGUGGGUAACCUGCCCAUAAGACUGGGAUAACUCCGGGAAACCGGGGCUAAUACCGGAUAACAUUUUGAACCGCAUGGUUCGAAAUUGAAAGGCGGCUUCGGCUGUCACUUAUGGAUGGACCCGCGUCGCAUUAGCUAGUUGGUGAGGUAACGGCUCACCAAGGCAACGAUGCGUAGCCGACCUGAGAGGGUGAUCGGCCACACUGGGACUGAGACACGGCCCAGACUCCUACGGGAGGCAGCAGUAGGGAAUCUUCCGCAAUGGACGAAAGUCUGACGGAGCAACGCCGCGUGAGUGAUGAAGGCUUUCGGGUCGUAAAACUCUGUUGUUAGGGAAGAACAAGUGCUAGUUGAAUAAGCUGGCACCUUGACGGUACCUAACCAGAAAGCCACGGCUAACUACGUGCCAGCAGCCGCGGUAAUAAU